rnacentral:rRNA from 1 species
AGAACGAACGCUGGCGGCAUGCCUAAUACAUGCAAGUCGAACGAACUCUUCGGAGUUAGUGGCGCACGGGUGCGUAACGCGUGGGAAUCUGCCCCUUGGUUCGGAAUAACAGUUGGAAACGACUGCUAAUACCGGAUGAUGACGAAAGUCCAAAGAUUUAUCGCCAAGGGAUGAGCCCGCGUAGGAUUAGCUAGUUGGUGAGGUAAAGGCUCACCAAGGCAACGAUCCUUAGCUGGUCUGAGAGGAUGAUCAGCCACACUGGGACUGAGACACGGCCCAGACUCCUACGGGAGGCAGCAGUAGGGAAUAUUGGACAAUGGGCGAAAGCCUGAUCCAGCAAUGCCGCGUGAGUGAUGAAGGCCUUAGGGUUGUAAAGCUCUUUUACCCGAGAUGAUAAUGACAGUAUCGGGAGAAUAAGCCCCGGCUAACUCCGCGCCAGCAGCCGC